CUCCCAGACUGGAGUGCAGUGGCGUGAUCUUGGCUUGCUGCAACCUCUGCCUUCCAGGUUCAAGCGAUUAUCCUGCCUCAGCCUCCCGAGUAGCUGGGACUACAGGUGCAUGCCACCAUGCCUGGCUAAUUUUUUUUUGUAUUUUUAGUAAAGAUGAGGUUUCACCAUAUUGGCCAGGCUGGUCUCAAAAUCCUGACCUUGUGAUCUGCCCACCUUGGCCUCCCAAAGUGCUGGGAUUACAGGUAUGAGCCACCGCGCCCGGCCCCUUCACUCUUUUUAAGAACAUAUUUUUAAUUUCUUGCAUUGAAAUCAUAAUUUGACACUAUUUUUUGUUGUUGUUUUUACUUGUCUCUUUUAACUGGACUGUAAGCCAACAAUAGAAGGAACCUUUUGUGUUUCACUCACUACUGUGUCCCCAGUGCCUAGAACAGGGCGUGUACAUAGGAAGCAGGAAAUAAACUUUUUUUAAAAGAAAUGAAUGGGGAGCUGAUUUUUCAUGCCCUUGAGAAGCCAAGAUCUCGAAGCAGGCAUAUGUGGGGGUGUCAAAAGCAGGUCAGGAGGUCGUCUCAUUUCCUUGUACUUUCGUUGCAUCAAGGUGCUAACACUGCUUCUCAGGUACCAUUUGUUAACUGAACCAUCAAUGCUUAGGAAGUAGAAAGGAAGAAAUGAAAUAAUUAUGUUUCAGAUUGAGCCCUUUUCCUGGAAACUUGGAAGAGUGUUCCAUACCAUCCAGUCUUUCUGUCACUUUUACCUAUUUCAGGUGUGUCCAGUCUCAGCUGGGAAUGGAAGAUGCUUUGCAUAUCUUUAAAAUCUUCGGGCCAUAGAGUUGGGGAGAGUACAGAAAGAAUACCACAGAACUUUUACGCCAGAAAAUGGCAGGUGCUCCGAGGGCAAUGUUGGAAUGCUUGGAGUGCAUAAAAAUACCAAGAUUGGGCGUCCUUGCUCCCAGUCUUUCCAGAUGUUCUUCCCACUCCUCAACUGCUCCUGGCUCAGAAACCCUGCACACCUGGAAGAAAGUGAGAACCAGUUUUUCAAUAAACAGCUUGCACAGACUUAUUGUGAACCCCGGGUGGAAUCAAGCAUCGGAGGGAGAAGAGAACGUGGUAAUAUUGACUCCAAUCCAGAAGACAGUCAUCAGUUAAGUAAAUAAAACAGGAACAGAACAUUGGUACUUACAGUAGGCAUGAUUUUAAGAUAAACCCCAAUGAGUCAUACCCUUGUAUAAUCUCCUCCCCUUGAGUGUUGUUGGAGCUAAGGAGUUGCAUUUAGUGAACAGAAUAUGGCAAAGAUGGUGGGAUCGUCACUUCCGUGGUUACGUUAUUGCUAUGUAAACUGCCAUUAUAGCAGACUGGAAGGAUUGAUUCUCCUUUUGGCCAUGAAGUAGUGAGGUGCCAUGUGACAAGAAACUGCAGGCAGCCUCCUGAGUCUGAGAGUGGUCCCUGGCUGACAGCUAGCAAGAAAACACGGACUUCAGUCCUCCAGCUUCAAGGAAGUGAACUCUCUGAAAUCACAUACACAUGGAAGAGGACCCCAAACUCCAGACUCCAGAAAAGAAUGCAGCUGUGUCGACACCUAGAUCACAGCCUUGUGAGACCCUGAGCAGGGGACCCAGUUAGGCUGUGCCUCAACUCCUGACCUGUAGAAACUGAGAUGGUAAAUGGGUGUUGUUUUAAGCCACUAAACUGGGAUGUGUUAUGAAAUGACAGAAAUUUAAUACAGUCUCCGUAUUCAGGGUGGAGUGUAAGAGAGUGUGUUUAAAUCUCAGCUUUGCUACUUAUUAGAUGUACAACCAUGGCAAAUUACUUAACCCCUCUGAAUCUGUUACCUUUAUGGUAAAAUAGGAACAAAAAUUAUACCUAUUUCAGGAUGAUGAAGAGGGAAUGAAAUGGUACACGUUGAGUCACUUAACGUGGUACCUGACACAUAGUGACUUCUCAAUACAUGUUUUUCAUUGUCAUCAGAGGUUGGACAUUUUAAAUUCCAUAAUCCUAAAUGUUUUUUUCAUUAUUUUUUCUAUGUUGCUCAUGUUUUGAAGAUUUUCAUUUAUCGUAUUAUCUGAUUUUAUUUAUUAAGUAAUCAUUCAUUUUCAUUUCCUCAUCUAUUUUUUUUCUUUUCUUUUCUUUUUUUGAGAUGGAAUCUCGCUUUGUCACCCAGGCUGGAGUGCAGUGGCGCAAUCUUGGCUCCUGAGUAUCUGAGAAUACAGGCACAUGCCACCACACCCAGAUAAAUUUUUUGUAUUUUUUUAGUAGAGACAGGGUUUCACCAUGUUACCCUGGCUGGUCUCGAACUCUUGACCUCAAGUGAUCCACCUGCCUUGGCCUCCCAAAGUGCUGGGAUUACAGGUGUGAGCCACUACGCCCAGCCCUCCCCAUCUAUUUCUAAUUCAUGACCUACAUACAGCUUCUGAUUAGCUUGGGGUAUUCUUAAUAGAUUAAUUAUAAUUAAUGUAGUUUGGCUAAAAGCAGACAUUUAGUGUUAUAGUUAGUAGAAUUUCCCUUAACUUUUGAAAUAUAAGAAAUGAAUUGUUGAACUUUGCCAGAUUACCAUUUGGAACCACAGUGUUAGCUGAUUGAUGGUAAAUAGGCAUUGGGUGACUUUCUGCAGCUAAGCAAGGCAAUCAUGAUUUGCCUUUAUAUGCCAGCAUAUUUGCUCAGAUAUUGCUGGAUGGGUGAGAAUGGCUGAAAAGAAAGUUGUUAGUUCAAGUGAAGGAAGGAAGUGCCCAGAAAGAAAGAGAAGAUAAAAUAUUAACAUUAUUUAGGUACUUAAUGGCUGGGAAUUAACUUAUGAAUCACAAAAGUUUUAGGAAUUGUUGUGCAAUGUCAGUAUUUAAAUUAUGGUAAAAUGAAUAAGUAUGCUUCAUUUAUGUUGUGUUUAUAGUAAAAUGCUCUUAUUUUGUAAUUUAUUUUGUGUAUAAUAAAAUAAGAGCAUUUUAAUCUAAAAUUAUAAUAUUUGAAGUAUGAUUGCUACUCUUUCAUUAGUGCUUUAUUUCCUCUUUGAAUAUUAUCUAAAAUAUUGCAUUAUAUUAUGUUAUUAAUAUCAAGGCCUAAUGUAUUCAGUUUCUAGAUGAACACUUUUCAAGUUGAUUACAGACUUGAUAGGGAAUUAUAUUUAUUUAAUAGAAGUCUCUUUAAAAUUCUGAGAAACAAGAAAAAGCUAUGUUAUAAGGAACUAGUUCAUCUGCUGUAAAAGUACACUGACAUUUUAAAGUGCAAAAAACCAAAAUACAGCUUAAGAAGUAUGUCUGAAAAGUUGAUGUUAAAUAAAUUAGAUUUUCCAGGUUAUACUCUAUAUACGCCCUGAAAAAGUUCUGCAAUACAACGCAUAGAAAACAUACACAUACUCACACAACAGACACAUAAUACAUAAAACACCCAUAGUGCACACAUGCAAAACACACAAAUGGCAACCCCUAUAAGCAUAUUAAGGUCUCUGAGAAGUCCUAUAAUAGAGACCUACUAAGUUUUGUUUAAUCACGUGCUUCUCCAAUUGAUCUCAGAAUCCUUCCCCCACCAUCACAGGUAACCCUGAUUCCUGAUGACUUUGUGUUCCUUGGAACACACUUUAUGAAUGACGGCUCUAUGAGAUUUUUCCCAAGGAAAACUAUUACACAGGAGAAGUAUAAGAUGCCCUCAACGUUUAUGGGUAAAAAACAGAUACCACCAUUAAAAUAACCCAUAUAUCAGAAACAAUACCUCCAAAUUAUGUGAAGAACAUUGAGAAUUCUUGCAGGGACUGAAAAUCUUUAUUUCCUUCUGGAAUCCAGGUUCUUUCUUUUGGUGUUAUGUACAGAUAAAGCCAGGUCUAUCUGCAGGUGAUCACUGUGCUGCUAGUCUCUGUUCACAUUGGUAGAAAGAUGUCGUUGGGUAGUAAAAGAUGGUCAUCUUCCUGCAAAAUAAGUCAGUAACCCAAGGGUGAAAGCUGUGUCUCCCCCACAAGUUCUAUCAGCAUCUUUUGACUUGACAGCACAAUUGGGAGCCUUAUCCUUUCUGCAUUCCUGACACAGAUGACCAAAGGCCAGUCCUUAACAACUUGUACCGCUCUCUCUGUUUAUUCCAUAAAGAGUGAAAAAGGAAUAUAUUUCCACACUUUAAGACUAUAUGGUGGGGCAUUUGGAGGGUGCUUACUCUGAUAAUUAAAAGGAUUUUAUCUUCAUAAGGAAAUCGACAUUUGCUGUCAGGAUGCCAGACAACAAUUCUAUAGAAGCUUUUCUCUUUUUUUAUGAUUGAUAUGGUUUGGCUGUGUGUCUCCACCCAAAUCUCAUGUCGAAUUGUAAUCCCCAUAUGUGAGGGGAUGCUCCUGGUGGGAGGUAAUUGGGUCAUGGGAGUGGAUUUCCUCCUUGCUGUUUUUGUGAUAGUGAGUGACUUCUCACGAGAUCUGAUGGUUUAAAAGUGUAUGACACUUUCCCCUUCACUCUCUGUCUCUCCUGCUCUGCCAUGGUAAGAUGUGCUUGCUUUCUCUUCAUCUUCCACCAUGAUUGUAAGUUUCCUGAGGCCUUCCAACCAUGCUUCCUGUCCAGCAUGUGGAACUGGAACUGUGAGUCAAUUAAACCUCUUUUAUUCAUAAA